GCUUUGAAGCGUGGACGCCAGUCUGCAUGGAGCCGACCUUGAAAUACCACCCUUUAAUGUUUGAUGUUCUAACGUGGACCCGUUACCCGGGUUGCGGACAGUGUCUGGUGGGUAGUUUGACUGGGGCGGUCUCCUCCUAAAGAGUAACGGAGGAGCACGAAGGUUGGCUAAUCCUGGUCGGACAUCAGGAGGUUAGUGCAAUGGCAUAAGCCAGCUUGACUGCGAGCGUGACGGCGCGAGCAGGUGCGAAAGCAGGUCAUAGUGAUCCGGUGGUUCUGAAUGGAAGGGCCAUCGCUCAACGGAUAAAAGGUACUCCGGGGAUAACAGGCUGAUACCGCCCAAGAGUUCAUAUCGACGGCGGUGUUUGGCACCUCGAUGUCGGCUCAUCACAUCCUGGGGCUGAAGUAGGUCCCAAGGGUAUGGCUGUUCGCCAUUUAAAGUGGUACGCGAGCUGGGUUUAGAACGUCGUGAGACAGUUCGGUCCCUAUCUGCCGUGGGCGCUGGAGAACUGAGGGGGGCUGCUCCUAGUACGAGAGGACCGGAGUGGACGCAUCACUGGUGUUCGGGUUGUCAUGCCAAUGGCACUGCCCGGUAGCUAAAUGCGGAAGAGAUAAGUGCUGAAAGCAUCUAAGCACGAAACUUGCCCCGA
rnacentral:rRNA from 1 species